rnacentral:lncRNA from 1 species
GCCUCUCUAAUUCUUAGAGUACAAAUUCUCCACUUAAACACGUGCACUGACAGAUGAGUUUUGCAUUUGAGCAUUAUCAGUUCUGAACUGAAGAAGAAGAUUAUACAUUGAAGUUAUAGGCGAUUGUCUUAUCAGAAUGAAGAAAAUAUAUACGAAACAAUGAAAAUUGAGUAGACAGACAUAGUAAUUAACUGCAGGACAAACAUUGGGAGAAUUAAUACCAAAAUCACAGCGAAAGAAUCAACAAAUGAUCUGAAAAGAGAAAAGGAAAACGACAAGUAAUUUGUUUGUUGCCCAAAAAAAGAACACGCCAACACGCAAUUCACUCCAUCUCCUCCUGCAAAUUACUAACCAUUCAACAAGAGAUUGGAUUGCAGACACAUUUACAAAUUUUGAGAGCUUUCAAAUAUUAUGAUUUGAUAGCGCAAAGAAUAUUGUAUAAAACACAAUUUAUAGAGUUAAAAAGACAUAAAAAUCUCUUUCUCUCAAUAUAUCCUCUACCAUCUCUUUAUACUUCGUCAUCUUCAUCUGAUUUCCUCAGUCACUGACUCCGGCUGCUUCCAUAGAUCCGGAGUCGCAUUUAGUUUUUCUCUUUAUUUCUCUGGUGUGUUUAAUCGGUGGAUUUGUGUGUCGAUUUGGAGGUUAAAAGCUAAAAUCCAGAUUUGUUCAAGAUCUGUCGGGUUUUAGGCUUGUUUGAAGGUUAGGGGUUCCGGAUUUGAUAGAUCAAUGGUGUGGUGGUGUGUCUCCUAAGCUGCAUGCUCCUUCUCUUUUGUGUUGGUAUCUUUGGCUUCGCUCCGUCUCAAUUCGUAAUCCCUCUUGUCUUCAAGGCUGAUUUUGGACUGUGUGUUGAGACUUGCUCACUGUCUUUUCUCUAGAGGUAUGAUUGCGUCCUCGCCUUUCACCUGCUUCUCUUGGCGUUUCAUGGUCGUCAAUCGUUUCGACUUUGCCGUCUCCAAAAUACGAGUUAGAAACCAAAAGAUGAGCUGAAAACUCUGUUCGCGUUGGAAACUCUUGUUCGCUACGGAGAUUUGAAGCAAAAGUUUUAUGCUAUCUUUAUUCACUAUGAGAAGUCUCUUGUUGGUUCUCUUUUAACAAAGAUUUGCAUGGAGUUUUGGUGUCUUGGUGCUUGGAGCAUUCUUCUACUUUUCAC